rnacentral:lncRNA from 1 species
GUCUGUCAGUUUCCACGCAUAAAGUUUAGUGAGACGUUAUAUGUAAGAUCUGAUUUGCUAGUUCUUCCUGGUAGAGUUAUAAAUGGAAAGAUUACACUAUCUGAUUAAUAGUUUCUUCAUACUCUGCAUAUAAUUUGUGGCUGCAGAAUAUUGUAAUUUGUUGCACACUAUGUAACAAAACUGAAGAUAUGUUUAAUAAAUAUUGUACUUAUUGGAAGUAAUAUCAAACUGUAUGGUGAUAAGUAUUGUUUUAAUUCCUAUGAUUAAAGGGAAAUAGAGCUUUGCAUUCUACUCAGCAGCCACGUGUGUGCAGCAAGGGCACUGUAGACCUAUCUUAAUAGCACAGCAUCCAGGGUUUGCUUUCUAGUAAUAGGUCUGAUGAGUGACCUAGAGAAGCUUUUGUGCUGUGUAGAGACUUCACCACCUUCAUUGGUUCAAGGAACUCAAACUCUAGUGCUUCAUCUCCAGCCCAGGCCACCUGAAGUGGCUUCACCAGCAACCCUUUUUUCCCUCAUCUGUGGUAGAGAUGGAGAGCAGCCCAUGCUUCCUCCCAGGCAGUGAUCUGGUAAUAGUGCUGGUGUUUCUUCAUGCUCAGUCUGAUGGCGCACACACCUUUUUCUUUCUUUUUUCUUUUUGGCUAUUGGAGAUAGGGUUUCUCUGUGUAUCCCUGGCUGUCCUGGAACUCUCUCUGUAGACCAGGCUGGCCUCGAACUCAGGGAUCCACCUAGCUCUGUCUCUGAGUGCUGAGACUGAAGGUGUGCGCCGCCACGCCUGGCUUUUUUCCCCUUUCUUUUUUGAGACAGGGUCUUACUAUGUAGCCCUGGCUAGCCUGGAACUUAAGUAUGUACAACAGGCUGCCUCCCCCUCCCCCAUUCACCUGCCUUUUCCUCAAAAGUGCUGGGAUUAAAUGAUGUCCCAGACUGCACCUAUUUUUUGAGACAAUGUCUCAUAUAGCUCAAGAGGCCUCAAAUUCACUUGUAACCAAGGAUGCCCUUGAACUCCUGAUCCUCCUGCCUCCACUUCCAGGUGUCAACUUUAUUCUUUCCAAUUGUAUGAAUCAUGUUGGUGGAGAGUUUAAGCAUUAGAAUAGAAAGCAGGAAAUGUGAUUGCCCUAAUUGUAGAAAUUCUAUCUCCCCCCCCCCCCAAAUUAAAUGAAAACAUGAACGCUAGAUGGGAAUGAUGGGAGAAAUAAUAUAUUUAUUUCGGUGAAAUUUUGCAUGUGUGAAAGUUUGUUAACUAGGAUCUUCGAAAUCCUAGACUUUGCUUUUGUCUUACUGUGGGAAACAAAGUCUCUUGCAGACACUAGCAUUUUAAGGUGACAAAGGUCAGAGAUUGUUUCCUUUGGUUUAAGGAGCAGCCAAGCAUUCUUCAAUUGGGGGCUAGGGUAGGGUAUGGCUGUUGAUAACACAUUUUAUCAUGGGGUCUUUAAUGAUAAAAUAUUAAACUAAAAAUAAGCCAGAAAUUACAGGUUUAUUUUUCACUAAACAGACAAUUGAAAUACAUGGUACAAAAAUAAGUGGUAAGAUUAUUGUAAAUUGAAAAAUGGACAGAAUAAAUAUUCAAUUUAAUUUUCCAUCUAUGAGAAUUUCACAAUAAAAUCAUAGUUUACUUUGUAUU